AGCAGCCGCGGUAAUUCCAACUCCAAUAGCGUAUAUUAAAGUUGUUGCAGUUAAAAAGCUCGUAGUUGAAUUUCGAGAUCAAAUUGUUGGUCGUGCCUUGGUACGUACUGGCAUUAUUGGUUUCUCCCUUCUGAAGAACCAUGAUGUCAUUAAUUUGGUGUCAUGGGGAAUCAGGACUGUUACUUUGAAAAAAUUAGAGUGUUUAAAGCAGGCUCGCGCUUGAAUACAUUAGCAUGGAAUAAUGAAAUAGGACGUUUAAUUCUAUUUUGUUGGUUUCUAGGAUUGACGUAAUGAUUAAUAGGGAUAGUUGGGGGCAUUAGUAUUCAAUUGUCAGAGGUGAAAUUCUUGGAUUUAUUGAAGACUAACUACUGCGAAAGCAUUUGCCAAGGAUGUUUUCAUUAAUCAAGAACGAAAGUUAGGGGAUCGAAGACGAUCAGAUACCGUCGUAGUCUUAACCAUAAACUAUGCCGACUAGGGAUCGGAUGAUGUUAAUUUUUAAUGACUCAUUCGGCGCCUUAAC
rnacentral:rRNA from 1 species